rnacentral:rRNA from 1 species
CCUACGGGGGGCAGCAGUGGGGAAUAUUGCACAAUGGGCGAAAGCCUGAUGCAGCAACGCCGCGUGAGCGAUGAAGGUCUUCGGGUCGUAAAUCGCUGUCCUAAGGGAAGAAUACUUACGGUACCUUAGGAGGAAGCCCCGGCUAUCUACGUGCCAGCAGCCGCGGUACUACGUAGGGGGCUAGCGUUAUCCGGAAUUACUGGGCGUAAAGGGUGCGUAGGCCGCCCUUUAAGUCAGGGGUGAAAGGCUACGGCUCAACCGUAGUAAGUCUUUGAAACUGUAUGGCUUGAGUGCAGGAGAAGAAGCAGGAAUUCCCAGUGUAGCGGUGAAAUGCCUAGAUAUUGGGAGGAACCCAAGUUGCGAAGGCGGCUUUAUGGACUGUAACUGACGCUGAGGCACGAAAGCGUGGGGAGCGAACAGGAUUAGAGACCCCUGUAGUC